rnacentral:tRNA from 1 species
GCGGAUGUGGCGGAAUUGGCAGACGCACUGGAUUUAGGUUCCAGCGCUCGCAAGGGCGUGAGAGUUCAAGUCUCUCCAUCCGCACCA